rnacentral:rRNA from 1 species
CAGUCAAAGAUUUAUCGGUAUAGGAUGGACCCGCGUCUGAUUAGCUAGUUGGUGAGGUAACGGCUCACCAAGGCGACGAUCAGUAGCCGACCUGAGAGGGUGAUCGGCCACACUGGAACUGAGACACGGUCCAGACUCCUACGGGAGGCAGCAGUGGGGAAUAUUGCACAAUGGGGGAAAGCCUGAUGCAGCAACGCCGCGUGAGCGAUGAAGGCCUUCGGGUCGUAAAGCUCUGUCCUAAGGGAAGAAGAAUGACGGUACCUUAGGAGGAAGCCCCGGCUAACUACGUGCCAGCAGCCGCGGUAAUACGUAGGGGGCAAGCGUUAUCCGGAAUCACUGGGCGUAAAGGGUGCGUAGGCGGCCAAUCAAGUCUGAGGUGAAAGGCUACGGCUUAACCGUAGUAAGCCUUGGAAACUGGUUGGCUUGAGUGCAGGAGAGGAGAGUGGAAUUCCUAGUGUAGCGGUGAAAUGCGUAGAUAUUAGGAGGAACACCAGUGGCGAAGGCGACUCACUGGACUGUAACUGACGCUGAGUCACGAAAGCGUGGGUAGCAAACAGGAUUAGAUACCCUGGUAGUCCACGCUGUAAACGAUGAGUGCUAGGUGUUGGCUAGCGAUACUUCUGUGCCGCAGUUAACACAAUAAGCACUCCGCCUGGGGAGUACGGUCGCAAGACUGAAACUCAAAGGAAUUGACGGGGACCCGCACAAGCAGCGGAGCAUGUGGUUUAAUUCGAAGCAACGCGAAGAACCUUACCAAGAUUUGAAAUCCCCUUGACUGACCGGAACUUAAUCGUUCCUUUCCUUCGGGACAGAGGAGACAGGUGGUGCAUGGUUGUCGUCAGCUCGUGUCGUGAGAUGUUGGGUUAAGUCCCGCAACGAGCGCAACCCUUAUCUUUAGUAGCCAGCACGUUAAGGUGGGAACUCUAGAGAGACUGCCGAGGAUAACUCGGAGGAAGGUGGGGAUGACGUCAAAUCACAUGCCCCUUAUGAUCUGGGCUACACACGUGCUACAAUGGCGAUAACAAAGGGAAGCGAAAGGGUGACCUGGAGCAAACCCCAGAAAAAUCGUCCCAGUUCGGAUUGUAGUCUGCAACUCGACUACAUGAAGUUGGAAUCGCUAGUAAUCGCGAAUCAGAAUGUCGCGGUGAAUACGUUCCCGGGUCUUGUACACACCGCCCGUCACACCAUGGGAGUUGGAAGCGCCCGAAGCCAGUGACUCAACCGUAAGGAGAGAGCUGUCGAAGGUGAAGCCAAUGACUGGGGUGAAGUCGUAACAAGGUAACCC